UUUCAUUAUUUUUUCUCUCUUUUUUUUUCUCACUUCAAAUUUAAACAUUAGCUCUCGUUGGACCUCCAUCAUCUCCUUCUUCAACAAUAAAUUCAGAUCUGGAAGGUGAAAUAGAAGUCAAUACCUCCAUCAUCCUCUUCUUCUACAAUGGAUCCAGAUAAAAUCAAACUCACCUCUUUCUCUGGUGUUUUGAAUCAUAAAAUUCAUCUUGCGAUUAAUUGGGGUUGCGCUUUACUUUAACUGGUUCCUAUUGUAAUUCCUGAUGAUGAUGGUGUGGUGGUGGUGAUGAAGUACAAGAUGCCACAGUUUGCUAAUAAGAUUGCUUGUUACAUUGCUUAUCUGUUCUGUAAGAUGACGAAAUAGAAGAUGACUCAGUUUGCUAAUAAAGCUGGUGCUCUUGGUGAUGAAAUCUUUAUUGUUCCUGAUAAGAGAGGCAGGUGAAUUGGAGAUAAAGAAGUUAGCGUACAUUGCUGAUGGAGUAGAAUACUACCUUUGAGAUGAAUGAGAUACCUUUGCCUCCAUGGAGGCCCGACCUGUAAACAAGAAGAUCCCGGAAGAUCCUACUUUACCAACAUUACCAAGAAGUACCCCUCAUCUACCAUAGUUUCAGGAGUUUCAUUUGGAAACGUCAGAGAGGGCUAAUCAGCAUGCUUAAACUCAACAGUUGUAACAUCAACUGAAUCUUCAAAUUGCAGUCCUUAUUUGUUUCUCUUCUUAGUUGUCUUUGUGGACCAUAUGUUUCAUCUACUUUUGGUAAUGCACAUUUAAAGUGAAAAUUUUGUUCAUGGUGUUAUUUAUGAAUUUGUUGCCUGCUACAGGUAGUUCAUUUUAGCUGGAAGAAGGACUCCCCAGAGAUUUGGCGUGGAUAUCCUCGCCAGGUGGUGCAACCUUCUUGUAUCCUUUACGAAUUUAAUUGUGCGAUACUUUCAACGUGAUCGGAUAAAGCCUCUAUAUCGUGUUUUUAAUUAGCUUGUUUUCACUGUCAUGUGUAAAUAUUUUAAAUAGCCAAUUGAAAUAGUGGGUUUUAGGUAGCCAACUUGAGGAUUGGUGAAAUAGAAUCAACUCCUCCUGGCACAAAGGAUUUAAUGCAUCUGCUGACUCAUUUUCAAAAUUUGCUCUGAAUUCCCGUUAGUUGUUACCACUUAAUAUUGCAUUCGUAGUUGUAGUCCUGAUCGAUUACAAGGAUAAGAUACAAAUUCACAGCGUUUGGUACUUCAAUUCCCUUUUUGCAGGGUCACGCCAUUCUCCUGGAUUAUUCUUGCUCUGGUGCUAGAACUUUUGUUGACAGAUCGGAUCAUGUUCUUCCAUCGUAUACUGCAACUGCUGAUGUUGCAAGGGAAACACUACUCAACUUGCUACUUCACAAUUACUUCGAUCAUAACACUUCAUAAUGGUGCCACCUGCAUUCCAAGUUCGAGUCGUAUAGGAAUGACCUUGUCAGUUCAUUAGCCAAUGCAAUAACAACUGAAGACGGAGUUAAUUUAAUAAGUAUAACUGGUUCAAUGCUCACACCUAAGUAGAAGGAUCUUGGAAUGUUGCUUAACCAGAUUUAAUGUAACCAGCUUCAGUCAAUUAAAUCCUUUCAUUAAUGCCUAAGUGAUGCUGUAGUGGCUUAGUCAAACAUCUACAAGCUCCUCCGUUCAUUCCAGACAUUGAACCAGCUCUUAAUUAAUCCUAUUGAACACAAGGUUUAUAAGAAAGGGCUUUUGCUCUUGGACUACUAGCUCUCAAGAUAGCAGGCGGUCAGGCAUUAGGCUGAUGUUGAAAGUGAUUGAGGAUAUUCCAAAGAAUCCUGAUGACAAAACUCAGAUAUCUUUGCUAUAUGCUAACAUCUCACCAGACGACAUACUACUGAAGCAAAACUUGACAUACUCUUAGCUAGCAAUCCAGAUUUGAAGUUGAUUUUUGCAUCUUUAGUGGGAAGGUCUUCCUUACAUUUCUCCGGUAUUCCUGAUGUUGUUAGCAGUUCAAUGAGAAGAGACAAAUAUUUGCUUUUGAAACCAUAAUUCAUAUUUGAUAUCCUUUUUUCUAUGAACUUGAUUCUAAGUAUGUAACGAAACCAAUGAAUCAAUGAAUAUUAUUAAAUUGAAUGAAUAUUUGUGUGUAAGUUUAAUUUGAUUCUCAUUUGAAUUCUAAGUUUCGUUUGAUUCUCA